UGUCCAGGUAGCUUGUGCAUGAGAGGAUUCCCACUUCCUUCCAUGAAGGCAAUGUGGUUCCUGUCCUGAAUACCUAACAAAAACCCUGGAAAACUAAUGGAAAUUGUCAACCGGUGGCACCGUUCAUGAUAUUGGAGUUCAUUGGACUUGUUUCUGGCAAGUAAAUGUGUCCUCCUUCAAUUUCAUGGUUCUCUUCUUUGUCUUCUAUAUUUGACCUAGAAAAAAAUGGGAUUUUUCCAAAACACUCUGGAAAUAUGUUGGGAGCUUUUACUGAUACUACUCCAUUCAGGGAUGGAUCACUUUAUUUUAUACUUUCCAAUACAUCACUGGAUUUUUUUUUUUUUACUUUUUCCCCUCAAGGAGCUACAGUUGGUUGUAUACUUGUGAUUGGUUUAGCUGGAGCUGGUGUAGCUACGAAAUUCCAAGGUCAACAUAAAAAGCGGAAAACUGACCCUCAUCCUGCCUCUUUGGAGUCUUAUGCAGUCUGCAGCAAAGAUCUGCCAUUGGAAACAAAAUAAAGCAGUCAAGAUCUUCAUCUGAAAGUACUGAACUUCUUCAGUAGAACUCCAGGAAUUCUAGCUGUUUUUUAAUUCUCAAUUUUUGUUUGAGAAACAGAUAUGGGAAUUUAGUGAAGAUGUGAAUGUAAAGCUUCAACAAUUUUCAUAGUUAUAGAAAUUGAACAUAUAAUUCAAGCAUGAAGCAAUUUUUGGCCUUUUAAAAAGUCCUGCGCACUUGCACAUAUCACUUUUGUUUUGACCUGUUCUGUACAUAAUUUCAAGAAUAAAAUCUCGAAUCAUGAGAACUAGCGUUAUCCCUGCCUGUGAAGCUGGUGUUCACUGGAGUGGAAAACCACUUUCAGUUAAAGGUACGUGAAACCAAGCAAUCACAUUAGGCAGGGCUAAUGAAAGCAACCCCCUGCUGGCAGCCAUUUUGUGAGUUCCCACAACUGUCUCAUAACAUUUCUCACAAAUGCACUUAAAGGAUAUAGACCCUUCCCUUACAGUUACCCUAUAUCAUUUAAGCAAGCAUCUUAUUCUGUGAACUUAAGAGUGUGGCUUCAGAGCUUUCAGAUAACAUAACUUGUCUGUUUUUGAAAUGAAGCUUGUUAGCAAAAUUCAGCCAUGAAAGGAAUAUCUGCGGCAACAACAAAGAGAAAAGCGGGAGGAUGAAACAGACUCACUUCUGUUCUGGAAGAAAAGUCCACCACUUAUGGCUGGGGUCAGGAACUUUUUCAGUCUAAGGGUCAAAUUUCCAUCCAUGACAGGUCUUGGGGGAACAUGACUCAUUUGUUGGUAGGGCCAACUGAUUCUUACUGAUUUUAAGCAUGCUCAGUAAGAAUUGCUCAGCAGCUUCUGCCCCCUCUCCCUAUCAGGGAAAAGCUCUUACCCUUUUUGUGAGCUGUUUGGAAGUAAGUGGGUUGGGUGAAAUCAAAUCAGUGACAGAAAAGUAAUUCUUAAAAGUAUAUCUUCAAUGGCAGCAACUCCCUUUAGAUAGAAACGGCAAACUGAAGAUAAUAAAUUGCAGUGGGAGAGGAAAAGAUUGAUUUGCAUGCAUGCAUGUGCACACUUUCUUAUCCCACAUCUUGCUGUGAUAAGAUGGCCUUCUUCCUGGAAAUGAAUGCUGAUGAACUGUGCAGAUUGAGGGGUUUUUAUAAUAGUGGUGUUAACCCCAGUGGAUGCCCAGAUCCUCUCAUAGGUUUUAACUUCUACACAGAAGACCCACGUUUUGGAGUAAAGGAAAGCAUUUGUCACAAGUGUAUUCGCCCCCCUCUGCUGACUGAUGGUGAUGUUGCUGGCUAGAGGAAUGCUUUGAGAACAUUUGAGUAGCGGCCAACAAGAUUUCAGAAGUCUAAAAGAUAUGUCUGGCUGAGGACAGGGCUGGGGGGUCCUUUCAGGGUAGGCAGAGAUGAAGCAAGGAUCACUGACCUCCCACACACAAUAAAGGAUUGUCUAUGGUCUUUAUAGUGUAUAAAGACAUUUAUAUUGCCCUCUUGCUAGAAAACACUAAAAAUCACCUUUCAAGUUAGCAUGCAUUUGGCCUCAAAGCUUUUCUAUAUGUCUAUUAUCUCCAACCAACCUUCCCCAACCUGGUGACCUUCAGAGGCAUUUGGACCACAUCUCCCAAAAUUCCCAUCCAGCAAGGCCAUUGACUGGGAAUUCUGGGUGUUGCAGUCCAAAUUUGUCUGGAAGGCACAAGGUUGGGGAAGGCUGUUUUAAAGAGAUGUAGGGUGGCUGUCAAUUCUGUACACUUCAGCAUUCUCCAUGAUUCUCUGUGCAGAGUCUAAACUUGUUUGUUCUGGUUUAAAAAUACACUGAUAACAAUAACAUGUACUUGAGAGGAAUUGUAUCCUGUAUGUUUCAGUUCAAAGUUUUGUAUAUUUUAUACACAGAAAGAUCAAGGGGCACUUUUAGGGCACAAAGACUUUAGUGGGAAGCAACUUGAUUGUUCUACUGAAAUCAGUGUGACCAAAAGUUUCUGUAUGUCAGCAGUACUGAAGCCAAGCCUAUUAAUUUCAAGAGGGCAAGCUGCAUUUAUGUACUGUUAUUUCUGUAAAUUUCAUGUUGAGCGUACACAUUUGGUUAAAUGAAUGGAAUAAAAGUUUGUAUAAAUUUU